AAUGCACUGACCAUCAAGCUUUUGGAAACAAACUCCUAUUUUGGAAUGGAACCAUCACAAGUGAAAAUUCUAAAGCAGGAAAAAGUAGCAUGUCUAGCUGACAACGAUGCAAGGCUUGCAUUAGAUCCAAAUGACAAGUACAAGAUCCAGACAAAGCCACAUGGGCAUGGAGAUGUUCAUUCUCUUCUUUAUUCAAGUGGAUUACUU